UGUCACAGGUGGUAUUAUCGUCAGUGAA
rnacentral:piRNA from 1 species